rnacentral:lncRNA from 1 species
UUAUGAAACUAACAAAUUCCCCAUGGCAUAUAAAGAGGUGGUGGCUUUAAAUCUCACUGAAGAGUUAGGAGUGAUUACCACAGUUUAGGUUUAGGAAGAUCCUUAAUGUUGAACUUUUUCACUCCCGGGGGGAACCCCCUCUUUCUCCUUGUCUAUCUUUCCCCCUCCCUUAGGGAAGACUAUUUUUCUCACUAUGCAGUGAUGCUCAAAUUUACCACAGUCUAAGGUCUCUCUCCCCUCCUUUCCCCUUCAUCUCUCCUCAUUUUUGCGUCUCUGUCCCUUCCUCUCCGAUUCUUUUCUCCCCUUUCUCUGUAUCUCCCCACCUCUGCCCCCCUCCGUUCAGAGCCCUGGCUUUGCUCGGGGCAAGGAUUCGGCUGGCAGGGAAGGGCGCCUUCCUUGUUAUCGGGCGGGCUCACGGCUCUGGGGCGUGCUCCUGAAGAGGGAGCGAACCUAGGCGCUGCUCCGGGGCUGCCUGCUAACUCCAGCCAUGGCCAGCAGGAACAAUGCAUCCGGAUCGACGGGUUUUGCCGUCGCCUUCAUGCCUCUGCCCGCAGAACCCGCCCGGUGCCGGGGCACGGCCAGGGCCCGAGAGUUCCCAUUUACCCUGCCACAAAGGGCAUCUGGAGAGGUCCGCCAGAGGCUGCACUUGGCAGGGUAGGAGUCGGAUUACCUGGGGGUCCAGGCAGCCUCCUGGGGAGGAGCAGCAGCAGCCGCUUGUUCAUCGCAGGGGGCAGGGCGGAGCCGGAGGCGUGGGGAGCGCUGGCCCUUGCUCUGCGGCGGUGUCCAGCCCUGCAUGCUCUUUGCCCCGAGCCUGCUCCAACUUUGAGGACGGGCGGAGCCGGAACGGGAGCCGGGCGCUCUGGCCGCACAGCGAGUCCCUCUUCGCUUCGCAGCGGGCGCCUGCCUUCAUCUGCACCACAGGGACUAACAAAUGCGGAGCCAGCCUCCGCCUCCGCCCCCCGGCAGCGGGAUUGGUUAGAACAGCGGGGGGAGGGAGCUGCCCCACCGCGGGUAGCCAGUGGCCGGGAAGAGGUCGGGGAGAGGGACGCGGGGUGUCCGCAGUAGCCACGAGGCUGUGGCUGAAGUGGCAGCGAGGAGUUCAGCGCUGCUGCGGUGAUGGGGUUUUAUUCUCUCUUCCCCGCCUCCCUCAUCCCGGACCCGAUCCUGAGCCCGAUCCCACUGAAAUCAUGAAAUUGCACAGUGUGUGUGAAAGAAGAUAUAUGGGCUCUUUAAAGACAGGCUUCCCAUCCUGCAAUACCUUGAUCUGGGCAACAAGGCAUGCUGGGAAAGAGAACCUGUCACAGAAGACUCUUAGCUAA